UCUCCGUUGGUGAACCAGCGGAGGGAUCAUUACUGAGUUUACAACUCCCAAACCCUUUGUGAACCUAUACCUAUCUGUUGCCUCGGCGCAGGCUGGGAGCUUCUGAAAACUCCCCCCCGCGGACUCACCUCUGCGCGGAGCAGGCCCGCCGGCGGCCCCACCAAACUCUUGUUUUUAGUGUCUCUUCUGAGUUAAACAAACAAAUGAAUCAAAACUUUCAACAACGGAUCUCUUGGUUCUGGCAUCGAUGAAGAACGCAGC
rnacentral:misc_RNA from 1 species